UACGUAGGGCGCAAGCGUUAUCCGGAAUUAUUGGGCGUAAAGAGCUCGUAGGCGGUUUGUCGCGUCUGCCGUGAAAGUCCGGGGCUCAACUCCGGAUCUGCGGUGGGUACGGGCAGACUAGAGUGUGGUAGGGGAGAUCGGAAUUCCUGGUGUAGCGGUGGAAUGCGCAGAUAUCAGGAGGAACACCGGUGGCGAAGGCGGAUCUCUGGGCCAUAACUGACGCUGAGGAGCGAAAGCAUGGGGAGCGAACAGG
rnacentral:rRNA from 1 species